UACGCUAUCAAAGACUAUAAUGUUGUUGUAGACAGUAUGACAUAUAAAAAUAUAACUUUGCUCUAUGAAUCGAUGUCAAUUCAAACGUCGGCUUCUUUCUUCUGUCAUCCGGGGUGAUUUGAAUGUUUGGAAAUUUCUUCAUCUCGGGGUUGUGGAGUAGAACUCAUUCCCAUUUCCAUGAAGUUUCCAAGUGUCGGUGAAAAAUUCAAACGCCGUCUUCCUUCUUCGGUCAUCCGGGGUGAUUUGAAUGUGUACAUGUUUGGGGAAUUUCUUCAUCUCGGGGUUGUGGAGUAGAACUCAUUCCCAUUUCCAUGAAGUUUCCAAGUGUCGGUGAAAUAAUCUGAUGUCAGGUGUGGAUUAUCCCAUUCUCCGAGGGACGUCGAAGUUCCCAGUCAGAUGAGUCGAAACCAUUCCAAACUCAUUGAUAUACUGGUUGAUUUACCUGUGGAUAUUACAAGGAAUCAGUGACUGUAUGGUGAAAUUUUCAGAACGGUGAAAAUUCUUCCAGUUAUACAGUUUAAAUUAUCUAUAUGAAAAUUGAAAUGGAAUCCAGAUGUCCACCAGAGUAAUAAUUGACAGGUCAUGAUGUCCAAUUCUUCAAGUACUUCUUUCUUGGAUGAUGAUAUGAAUAAAUCUUCAGGAAUCAUGUCUUCGGUGGAAUUGGGCUUACAGCUGAUCAUCCGAUGAAAGGUGUGUUGCCUAUCUCCAGCAUUUAUUCUCAUCGGAGUUCAUCAUACGUGGUGGUCUCUUGAAAGGCCAAAGCCUGUUGCAGUGAUGGCAAUAACCUCUGUCUUAUCAGUCGAAUCUGUUCACUCUCAGUGGGACGAUUGCAAGUCAGCUUCUGGAACAAAUUUUGCAUCCGGGUGACAUACAGUAGUAACUUCUCAUCAGGACCUUGCAUCCUCUUCUUGAUUUCAUCCAGUAGGUUCUCUUCAUAGUUGACUGGUGUUGCAGUAUGGGAGACCUGGGCAGUUGGCAGUGGGUGUUCAUCAUCUUCCAAAUCUAUCAGUGAUGUCUUCAGUUGUGCAACCUUGGUUGGUUGAAUGGGAGACAUCUCAGGCGACUGUGGAAUCUCUGCCU